rnacentral:lncRNA from 1 species
GAUGUAUUGGAGGAGACCUGAACUACAAAAUGAGCUUCUCUGGGGAAACACAUUUAGAGAAAGACCAGAGACACACAUCAGACACACCUGAACCCAGUUCUGUGUCUAUGAAGAGUAACAAGUCAAUGGAACCUCCAGUGUACAUUGAAGAGGGAGAGUGUUCUCCUGAUGUGAGUCUGUUUCAGACCAAGGGAUCACACUCACCUGAAACUAGCUGUGUGUCCAUGAAAAGUGAUGAGUCAAUGGAUUCUCCACUAAAAUUAGGAGACAAAGCAAGUUCUCCUGUGGAUAGGGUCCAAAGAAAAAACUCGAAUCUUCCCAGCAAUAAUCAUUUGGAGUCUAUAUUUAAGGUGUGUAUUAUGUUUGUAUUAAAAUGGUAAACAUUUUGCCACUGUUUUGGUCAAAUC